rnacentral:tRNA from 1 species
ACCUGGCUCACUCAGUUGGUAGAGCACAUGACUUUUGAUCUUGGAGUUGUGAGUUUGACCCCACGUUGGGUG